CGGACGGGUGAGUAACGCGUGGAAAACCUGCCGUAUACUGGGGGAUAACACUUAGAAAUAGGUGCUAAUACCGCAUAAGCGCACAGCUUCGCAUGAAGCGGUGUGAAAAACUCUGGUGGUAUACGAUGGUUCCGCGUCUGAUUAGCUAGUUGGUGGGGUAAUGGCCUACCAAGGCAACGAUCAGUAGCCGGCCUGAGAGGGUGAACGGCCGCAUUGGGACUGAGACACGGCCCAAACUCCUACGGGAGGCAGCAG
rnacentral:rRNA from 1 species